rnacentral:piRNA from 1 species
UACUCUUUGAAUUAUUAUAGCCAGUUUGGAC